rnacentral:rRNA from 1 species
UACGUAGGCAGCAAGCGUUGUUCGGAGUUACUGGGCGUAAAGGGUGUGUAGGCGGUUCUUUAAGUUUGGUGUGAAAUCUCCCGGCUCAACUGGGAGGGUGCGCCGAAUACUGAGGGACUAGAGUACGGGAGAGGAAAGUGGAAUUCCUGGUGUAGCGGUGAAAUGCGUAGAUAUCAGGAGGAACACCGGUGGUGUAGACGGCUUUCUGGACCGUAACUGACGCUGAGACACGAAGGCGUGGGUAGCAAACAGG